rnacentral:rRNA from 1 species
ACGAACGCUGGCGGCGUGCCUAAUACAUGCAAGUCGAACGGUCUUUCUAUGGAAGCUUGCUUCCACUGAGAAGAUAGUGGCGAACGGGUGAGUAACACGUGGGUAACCUGCCCAUAAGAGGGGGAUAACAUCCGGAAACGGGUGCUAAUACCGCAUAGUUUUCUUGAUCGCAUGAUCGGGAAAGGAAAGACGGCCUUUGUGCUGUCGCUUAUGGAUGGACCCGCGGCGUAUUAGUUAGUUGGUGAGGUAACGGCUCACCAAGACGAUGAUACGUAGCCGACCUGAGAGGGUGAUCGGCCACAUUGGGACUGAGGCACGGCCCAAACUCCUACGGGAGGCAGCAGUAGGGAAUCUUCCGCAAUGGACGAAAGUCUGACGGAGCAACGCCGCGUGAGUGAAGAAGGUUUUUUCGGAUCGUAAAACUCUGUUGUCAGAGAAGAACAAGUUGGAGAGUAACUGCUCCAGCCUUGACGGUAUCUGACCAGAAAGCCACGGCUAACUACGUGCCAGCCGCUGC